rnacentral:rRNA from 1 species
AUUGAACGCUGGCGGCAGGCCUAACACAUGCAAGUCGAGCGGAUGAAGGGAGCUUGCUCCUGGAUUCAGCGGCGGACGGGUGAGUAAUGCCUAGGAAUCUGCCCGGUAGUGGGGGAUAACGUCCGGAAACGGGCGCUAAUACCGCAUACGUCCUGAGGGAGAAAGUGGGGGAUCUUCGGACCUCACGCUAUCAGAUGAGCCUAGGUCGGAUUAGCUAGUUGGUGGGGUAAAGGCCUACCAAGGCGACGAUCCGUAACUGGUCUGAGAGGAUGAUCAGUCACACUGGAACUGAGACACGGUCCAGACUCCUACGGGAGGCAGCAGUGGGGAAUAUUGGACAAUGGGCGAAAGCCUGAUCCAGCCAUGCCGCGUGUGUGAAGAAGGUCUUCGGAUUGUAAAGCACUUUAAGUUGGGAGGAAGGGCAGUAAGUUAAUACCUUGCUGUGUUGACGUUACCAGCAGAAUAAGCACCGGCUAACUUCGUG